rnacentral:rRNA from 1 species
AUUGAACGCUGGCGGCAGGCUUAACACAUGCAAGUCGAGGGGAGCGUCAGACGGGUGAGUAACGCGGGGGAACGUACCUUUUGGUUCGGAACAACACAGGGAAACUUGUGCUAAUACCGGAUACCGAAAGAUCGGCCCGCGUCUGAUUAGCUAGUUGGUAGGGUAAUGGCCUACGAAGGCGACGAUCAGUAGCUGGUCUGCGAGGAUGGUCAGCCACAUUGGGACUGAGACACGGCCCAAACUCCUACGGGAGGCAUCAGUGGGGAAUAUUGGACAAUGGGGGAGACCCUGAGCCAGCCAUGCCGUGUGAGGGAUGAAUGUUCUAUGUAUGUAAAGAGCUUUGGUGCGGGAAGCGGUACCGCAAGAAUAAGCCCCGGCUAACUUCGUGCCAGCAGCCGCGGUAAUAC